GAGUUUGAUCAUGGCUCAGGAUGAACGCUGGCGGCGUGCCUAACACAUGCAAGUCGAACGGAGAGCAUAAACGGAAGUUUUCGGAUGGAAGCUUAUGUUCUUAGUGGCGGACGGGUGAGUAACGCGUGGGCAACCUGCCUCAUACAGGGGGAUAACAGACGGAAACGUCUGCUAAGACCGCAUAAGUCGGAACUACCGCAUGGUAGAUUCGGGAAAAGAGCAAUCUGGUAUGAGAUGGGCCUGCGUCCGAUUAGCUAGUUGGUGAGGUAAUAGCUCACCAAGGCGACGAUCGGUAGCCGGACUGAGAGGUCGGACGGCCACAUUGGGACUGAGACACGGCCCAAACUCCUACGGGAGGCAGCAGUGGGGGAUAUUGCACAAUGGAGGAAACUCUGAUGCAGCGACGCCGCGUGAGUGAAGAAGUAUUUCGGUAUGUAAAGCUCUAUCAGCAGGGAAGAUGAUGACGUACCUGACUAAGAGCCCCG
rnacentral:rRNA from 1 species